ACACAUACACACUUCUGAGUGCUCACAGACUUCCAUAAUGCUACAUUUCUUCAUAGGAAUAGUACUUCUGUUGCUAGAUCCAUCAACAAUCUGUUGUCAAACAGUGGAAGGCACCUUUUUGGGAGAUAAAGAAGGAAUUCCCUUAC